AAGCUGGCUGUGCCUUUCGGUUCGUGCCGUAACCGUUCUGACGUACAGGAUUAAUAAAGAACUGUUUGAAAACCGCCAGCCUAAGGAGCUUCUUUGCAGCCAUUACAAUAUAUUUAUUAAAAAAGACAGAGAGAGAAGCCCGGCCCGAACCGACCCGAACGUAAUGGUCGGCUCGGGCUUGGGCUUAAGAUCUUACCUCUAGUUCACACUAAACAUGAUUCACACAUCAAAUUCUUGUCCACUGCUUCUGUUUUGAUGUGCGUCAAAUUUGCUGCUCGAUACUUGUCCAAAAGUCUGUCAGUAAGUCUGAUGUCGCAUGUAGGAGGAGCUACUGUCAAACAUUUUUAGCCUGAUCCCUACAUGGAAGACGUAGAAUAGUUGAUCUUUUAAAAUAUGUAUUUUUCAUGUUUUGUCGUAAUUUUUCAAUGGAACAUUCCGGCGGGCACAAGCAAAAAUGGAAAAGUCCAUUGUGACCAAAUGAAGGGGGAUUAAUAUGAUCAGAAGACUUGCUUAAGAUAAACUAGUAGAGCCAACACCUUAUAUGCUGUUUUAUAACUUAUUUAUUUUCAUAAUGAUGGCAUAAGGAAGUGUAACACAAAAAAAUUAAUUCUAUUUAUUGCAUUUUUGGGAUACCCUUUGAGUAUUUUCAUAUUGUGACCGACCCAGCGCCAUCUUGUCACAUUUGCGACGUACAUCUGAUGAUCCAGAACAUGACGAGGACGAACAGGAAAAACAAUUAGGAAUAUAAUAUUCGGCGGACAAGAUAAAAGGAGUUUCAGGCCAAACGAGCUUACAUUGAUUGUGGAGCCAUAAGAGGAGAUACCAGAGCUUCAUCCAUUGUGGAUGUUUAUCCAGAGAACUGCAUCAUUGGAAGCCAACUUUGCUCUGGUGAAGGCCCUUCCCAUUCUCUUUCCCCCAGUGGCACCUCCAUCAAAGAAACUGGGGUGUGCUAGUGAAGCUUUACUGCAUGUUCAGGAGUCAACAGAAGAUCCAAACGUCUUCAUCCAGAAGAGAGGCCUGUCAAGUCCAGUCUUGGUGUUCGAUGGCAGCAGAUGAAUCGUUGCUAUUGGUUUGAUGCCAGUGACGUUUGAAAAAGAAAAGCUUCACGAGGGUCUGAUUUUCUAAAUGGCAUAUUAUUACACACUACAUCUGACCUACACAAAAUGCGUGGCCACCCUUCUGUCAUUCAGACAGAUCCUUCAGGAUACGAUUCACAAGCGGGACAGCACCACCAUGAAAGAGCAUUAAAGUAAAGAAUUUGUUGGAAGAUGAACUGCUUUUGCAGUUCAAUGUUUAUGUCUGUUCUUUAGAUGAGUAUUCUAAUUGUGUUGUUAAAGAAACUGUUGUAUUCCUAGAAAAUUUGGGUACAUUUGUAACACAAAUCUCAGUU
rnacentral:lncRNA from 1 species